CAGAAUAUGGCAAAGCCAGCUGCCAUGUCUGAGAGGCCCACAUGCCAGGAACAGAGGGCAGCCUCCAGGGAACAUCCAGCAAGAACUGAGGCUCUGACCAGCAGCCCUUGAGCCAUUGAUCUUGCCAACAACCACCUGAACUUCAAAGUGAGUCCUUCUUCAGUGGAGUAUUCAGAUGAGACCUCAGCGCUGGUUCACACCUUGAUGGCAGCCUUUGAGAGACCCUGAAGCAGAAGACUCAGCCUGGUGAGAGAAGCACAGUUAUCCCUAUCCAAUGGGUGCAGAAAUUGAGGCCUGGAGAAGUCAAAUGGCUUAUCAAAGGGGACACAGCUUGCCUAUCUGGGAUCUGAAUCCACAUCUGUCUACCUCCAAACCCCACAUUCUAAUCAUUGGGUCACACUGCUCUUCGAGUAAAAGGCCAGAUAAUCUCCCAAGUUCCUUCCUGCAUGUUUGGAAUAGUGUUAGAUGAAAAUGCGUUCCAGAGAAGGAUCCACACACUCAUAUAAACAUGCAGGAAUAGAUCUUUGUGCAUUGAAAAGGAUAAAAAAGAAGU